GGCCCAGACUGUGGUUGAGCAGAUGAGCACGCUGGUGCCUCCUCUGCAUGAAGGGGACCCCUUGGUUGUCCUAACUUUUCUGUCUACAUAUAGAAGCUUUGUGACACCCCUUCAGGUAUUGGACCUGCUGUUUGGGAGGAAGUCCUAGAAAUUUUAGAGUACCCAAGAGAGAUGUGUCCAAAGUAGAGGCCCAUGAAGGAUAAUCCAGGAAAGCAUGUGACCAAGGAGAUGUCUUGAUAGAGAUGCCUGCAUUCAACACUUGCAGAUACAUUGAAAGCACCUAUUGUGUACAGGUACGCAUACUUCAGCCUUUAUUCUAAAGAGGAUGAACAAGUGAAGAACACCCUCUGUAGCUUCUUGGAAACAUGGAUGGACAAGAAACCUGAGGACUUUUGUGACCCAUCAGACCUGUUCACUUUGAAACUCCUGAGUCCUACUUGAGUGUGUACAUGGCCCAGUGUGAUCUUAAUGUCCGUGUCAAGAGGCUGCUGACACAGUUGGAGAAAGAACAUGCAAAGGAUUCUCAGGCCAAAGAUGAGGAAGACUCAGAUCUGGG